ACAUUUUCACUUUCAUGUUUACUCGUUGUGCUUAGUAAUUUGUAGAACGUGGACCUGAAAGAUAAGGUUAAUUGACGCCCUGACUUAGCAAAGAACUGGUAGCAGGAUCAAAUGGCAGUUAGAAAGAAAUACUUUGGGACCUGGAAAAGUAAUCUUCCCAUUUUAGCUGUGUCAUUUUGGUCUUUAAUUUUGUUAGUGGUUGAAGAAGUAAUUGAUGGUGAAUUUAAAUGUCCUCAACGAAAUAAUGCGAGCAUUUACUACAGCUUGGCAUUUUUCUUUUUUCCAGCCCUUAUUUUCCUUGUCCUGAGCUUGAUACUUCAGCAGGAUUUCAUUGAUUGGGUUCGCUGCUCAGAAAAACGCAGUAGGGACCGCACGUGUGAAAUAGUGGGAAAGACUUCUGGAGCUGCUCUUUUAUGGCGUGUGAUUCUCCUCAUUGAUGGCCGAUCCGCUGAGUGCAUAAAUAGGACAUUUAAGGGAAGCAGCAUAGAACCCACAGCACAAACAAUGCCAUCACAGCCAUCCAGCGAAGCUUAUCGCAGGUUUUUGGACUAUUUGCCCUUUUUGUUAUGAUCGUUGUCUACUGCCUAUACACACUUUACCCAUUCUGCUUCUGCUGUAAAGAUAAAGAAAAAAUGAAGCGGACAUAGAGCCAGCGCAUACGAGAGAAAGAAGCUCAAAUCUGUAUGUCAAAAGAGGAAAAGUAUGUGUAGGAAAUAGUGCAGAAUGUCCUGCGAUCUAAGUUUCGGGAUCACCUGAAAAAUGUUCCGAAUGACACAAGUAUAACAGGUAUAUUUGAAGAAGUAAAAAACUUUCUUAACCAGCCAGCAACAUCUCAAACUCCUCAAAUGGACACUGAAUUGGAAGUAAGGCUCGGAUAACUACUAAUACGUAUAUAAUCUUCUUGGAAAAGGUGCAGUUCCACACAUGCAUAGUGGCUUUCCUAUACCAAUACAACCAGAACCCCCCCAACACUUUUUAAAAAGAAUAAACAUAAUAGAAUUUAACCAAAAAAUCAUACUUUAUAAUGUACGCUUCAUAUUA